UACGUAGGGUGCGAGCGUUAAUCGGAAUUACUGGGCGUAAAGCGUGCGCAGGCGGUUCGUUGUGUCGGCGGUGAAAGCCCCCGGCUCAACCGGGGAGAGUGGUGCCGAACUGGACUUCUUGAGGGCGAUAGAGGAGAGUGGAAUUCCGGGUGUAGCGGUGAAAUGCGUAGAGAUCCGGAAGAACACCAGUGGCGAAGGCGGCCCGCUGGGCAGUGGCUGACGCUGAGGCGCGACAGCGUGGGGAGCAAACAGG
rnacentral:rRNA from 1 species